GGCAGCAGCCGCGGUAACACCGGCGGCCCGAGUGGUGAUCGUGAUUAUUGGGUCUAAAGGGUCCGUAGCCGGUUUGGUCAGUCCUCCGGGAAAUCUGAUAGCUCAACUAUUAGGCUUUCGGGGGAUACUGCCAGACUUGGAACCGGGAGAGGUAAGAGGUACUACAGGGGUAGGAGUGAAAUCUUGUAAUCCCUGUGGGACCACCUGUGGCGAAGGCGUCUUACCAGAACGGGUUCGACGGUGAGGGACGAAAGCUGGGGGCACGAACCGGAUUAGAUACCCGGGUAGUCCCAGCCGUAAACGAUGCUCGCUAGGUGUCAGGCAUGGCGCGACCGUGUCUGGUGCCGCAGGGAAGCCGUGAAGCGAGCCACCUGGGAAGUACGGCCGCAAGGCUGAAACUUAAAGGAAUUGGCGGGGGAGCACAACAACGGGUGGAAGCCUGCGGUUUAAUUGGACUCAACGCCGGACAACUCACCGGGGGCGACAGCAAUAUGUAGGCCAAGCUGAAGACUUUGCCUGAAUCGCUGAGAAGAGGUGCAUGG
rnacentral:rRNA from 1 species